UACGUAGGUGGCAAGCGUUGUCCGGAUUUACUGGGCGUAAAGGGUGCGUAGGCGGCGCGGUAAGUCGGGUGUGAAAUCUCGGAGCUUAACUCCGAAACUGCAUUCGAUACUGCCGUACUUGAGGACUGGAGAGGAGACUGGAAUUUACGGUGUAGCGGUGAAAUGCGUAGAUAUCGUAAGGAAGACCAGUGGCGAAGGCGGGUCUCUGGACAGUUCCUGACGCUGAGGCACGAAGGUCAGGGGAGCAAACGGG
rnacentral:rRNA from 1 species